rnacentral:rRNA from 1 species
UACAGAGGUCUCAAGCGUUGUCCGGAAUUACUGGGCGUAAAGAGCGCGUAGGCGGCACGGUACGACCGGUGUGAAAGCCCCCGGCUCAACUGGGGAGGGUCACCGGUAACGGCCGAGCUACGAGUGCAGGAGAGGGAAGUGGAACUCCGGGGAGUAGCGGUGAAAUGCGUAGAGACCCGGAGGAACACCAGUGGCGAAGGCGGCUUCCUGGUCGUGCAACUGACGCUGUGGCGCGAAAGCUAGGGGAGCAAACGGG